GAGCGAUGACAGGAUACGUGCGCCCGUGAUUGGUUUGGGUCCAUCACAGCUGAUUCCACGGACGACAAGACGCACAUCUGAGCUC